AAAUAUGAUGUUGAUUAUAUUCUUAAUAGUAGUGAUAGAAAAAAGGCUGACAAAUUAGCAGAAAUGCUUAACUUAGAAAUAGUAGGUUUCAUGUAUGCUUAUCCUUACAUUGGAAUAGAUUUAAAUGAAUAUAAUAAAAGAAAAAAAACUUUUAUUAAAUUGAGUAAAAACAUAGAAAAGCUUAACGAUGAAGAAAAUGAGGUGUUCAUACCUAUGGGAGGAAAGGAAGUCUUACUAUCUCUAUUAAUAAUGAAGCAAUUGGAUGAAAAAAUUAAAAAUGGUGAUUUGAAAAAGAAAGAGAUGGUAGGGGGUCAGUUGGGUACGGAAAUGACAAAUAAUAAAGUGGAAAAUGGACAUAUUGAAAAUAAUAAAGGGGAAGAAAAGGGGGAGAUAACAAAAAAAUUAAGUAGUGAUAAUAAUAAUAACAAAAAAAUAUCAAAAAUUUACACAAUAAGUGAAGAAUACGCAAAAAAAAAAAAAUGUUCAAAAAAAAAAAACGCACAUAUAAAACCAUUUAUUACGUUGUCUGUUGGUAUGAAUGAAAAUUGCGAAUCUAUAGUUGUCGAAGCAUAUGAAAUUAAUUAUGAUUUAAUUAAAUUAAUAAACAAUGAUAUGAUAAAAUGUAUGGACAAACAAAACAGUAUAUUACAAUUUGAAAAAAAUAAAAACGAAAAAGAAAUGAAAAUAAAAAAUUUUAAUAAUGAAAUAGACCUUAUGAAUGAAUUAUAUCUAAAAUGUAAACAUAACAUUUAUAUUAAAAAAUUUGAAUUAAAAAAAAUUGACGUAUUGUUUUGUAUAAAUAAUGUCCCUAUAUUCUCUCAUAAAAGCUAUUAUAAUUAUUUGUUCCCUUAUCCAAAUAAUACUAACUAUUAUGAUAUUUUACAAAAAUUUAAUUACAUGAUAAAAACAAUCAAAAAUAAAAAGGAUAUAAACCAUGUUUUUCGAGAUUUUAAUUUCCUUUUUUUUUUAACUAACAUAUUUUCAAUUGAAAAUGACAUACCCUACAUUUGCAAAGCUCUAAAUGAGCCGAAUAAUUCUAUUCACAUACCAGAUUAUUAUAUAUACGUUUUAAAGAACUUGUCUAAAAAUGUAAAUACAAUCAUUUGAAUGGGUUUAGUAAAUGUGUUUAGUAAAUGUGUUUAGUAAAUGUGUUUAGUAAAUGUGUUUAGUGAAUGUGUUUAGUAAAUGUGUUUAGUGAAUGUGUUUAGUGAAUGUGUUUAGUGAAUGUGUUUAGUGAAUGGAUAUAGGAACGGAAAAAGUAAACAAAUUAAAUUAUUAAAUAAAUAA
rnacentral:lncRNA from 1 species